rnacentral:rRNA from 1 species
AGUGAACGCUGGCGGCAGGCCUAAUACAUGCAAGUCGAACGGCAGCACAGCAGAGCUUGCUCUGUGGGUGGCGAGUGGCGGACGGGUGAGGAAUACAUGGGAAUCUGCCCAGUCGUGGGGGAUAACGUAGGGAAACUUACGCUAAUACCGCAUGCGCCCUUCGGGGGAAAGCCGGGGACCUUCGGGCCUGGCGCGAUUGGAUGAGCCCAUGUCGGAUUAGCUAGUUGGCGGGGUAAUGGCCCACCAAGGCGACGAUCCGUAGCUGGUCUGAGAGGAUGAUCAGCCACACUGGAACUGAGACACGGUCCAGACUCCUACGGGAGGCAGCAGUAGGGAAUAUUGGACAAUGGGCGCAAGCCUGAUCCAGCCAUGCCGCGUGAGUGAAGAAGGCCCUCGGGUUGUAAAGCUCUUUUGUCCGGAAAGAAAAGCGCCGGGUUAAUACCCUAGUGUCCUGACGGUACCGGAAGAAUAAGCACCGGCUAACUUCGUGCCAGCAGCCG